rnacentral:rRNA from 1 species
GAUGAACGCUGGCGGCGUGCCUAAUACAUGCAAGUCGAGCGAACAGACGAGGAGCUCUCUCCUCUGACGUUACCGGCGGACGGGUGAGUAAUACGUGGCUAACCUACCUAUAAGGCUGGGAUAACUUCGGGAAACCGGAGCUAACACCCGAUAAUAUGUUGAACCGCAUGGUUCAAUAGUGAAAGACCGUUUUGCUGACACUUAUAGAUGGAUCCGAGUCGCAUUAGCAAGUUGGUAAGGUAACGGCUUACCAAGGCAACGAUGCGUAGCCGACCUGAGAGGGUGAUCGGCCACACUGGAACUGAGACACGGUCCAGACUCCUACGGGAGGCAGCAGUAGGGAAUCUUACGCAAUGGGCGAAAGCCUGACGGAGCAAAGCCGCGUGAGUGAUGAAGGUCUUCGGAUCGUAAAACUCUGUUAGUAGGGAGGAAGAAAUGUGUAAUUAACUAUGCACGUCUUGACGGUACCUAAUGAGAAAGCCACGGCUAACUCCGUG